GGGGGCUGGGGCACAACAGCUCAACCCUUCCGUGGGUGGGAGUGGGUGACAGUGAGCCUUCCCCUCCCUGUCCCUCAUGCCACUGCCCGGGACAGUGGGAGGAACGGUUACCUCCUAGGGCUACUGUGUGUCUCUCUUUGUCUCAAAGAGCCUUGAGAGACAGCAGGAGAGAGAUUUAAUUGCAGCCUGCCUGAGAACCUCAGAGGCACUGACCUUCCUGGCCACACCCCAAGCUUGGCACGCUUUAAUUAAGAACAGAGUGCUGAUUGGAGGAGCCCCGUCAGCCUGUGCCUGCGUCUUUCUGCUCCUCUGCCUGAGGUCCCUCUCCUGUGUCAGAAGAGCCUACCAGCGUGGAGGUUUAUUGAUUCUGUACACCUGCCUCCCUCCAGCAGCCUCCUUUCAAUAAAGGAUGGGAGUUGCAGC
rnacentral:lncRNA from 1 species